AACACUUCACAAAUCAUUUUGUAGCGCAAUACUGAUUUUUUUGCAGCGGAAGAUGCGCGCGAGGUCAACACGGCACGCGCGCUUCCGUCUGUAGAUCAAUUACUGCUUCCGGUAGUUUUACUCUGAAGAGAAACACAAACAGUUUGUUUAUCGUCGUGGAUUAUACGAUUCGUUUUUAUAUUCAAGACUCAAUGUGCUGCUAUGACCGUUUGGCAUCAGUUUUAAAGAGAAUGCUGCUCAUGAGUCAAUGUCCAAUUGAAAUAAAUCAAAUUAAUUAUGGAUGAACGCUGGUCUGUGCAUCCUGUCGUUAUUGUAAUGGUCUUUGUGAAUGUGCUGCGGACGGUGAAGCUCCUUUUUACAAUGAAUGCAUCACACUAUUACAAUAAUGACAAAACUCACGAUGGCAACAGAAACAGAAGUUUCCUAUCAAAGGCUUUUCACAGAAGCAGAUGACCCAGCACAAACACUGCCGGUGACCCACCCCCUCAACAUCCAAUGAUGAUCUUCAUCUGCAGCACAUUCACAAAGACUGUUAACAUGAAGACAGGAGGCGACCCAUCAUUUAUCCAAACUUGACUGAAGUGUUGAGUGUUGAUACAUUAAAGGUUCAUCAGCGGACUGAACGCUGUUCUGUAGAGUCUGUAAUGAAACACAUCACAUCAACAACACUCCGCACAAAUCUAACAUACACUCACAAACUUGUGAUUUCACUAUUACAAUAUUGAUUUGACACUGAGAGCGAUAAGAGUGAAGACAAAACGCAUCAUUUCUCAUUUUCAUGAAUUCAUUUUAACAACUUCAGUCGGGAUUUUUGUGUUUUAUUGCUUCAAGGCCAGGAAAAAAUAUUUUUUACAAGUUUAUCACAUUCCUUUUUUGUCCGAAGAGGUGACAGUGUUUACAGCAUGAUGCACUUGUAUCCUUUGAAAUUUGUAGUGGUUGGUGUGCCAUAAAAAUCCCAUUCACACACAAGAAAUGAUUUUUUGAUAGCUGUCCACUGCCGUGACCUCGAAAAUAAAACUUUUAAUUUAGUUACAUAAUUUUUCUUCUUUAACAGGGAAUCCAUAAUCCUCUGACAGAAGUGAUGUAAAGGCCACUCUUUAUACGGCACACACAUGUGACUACAUUUACAUUAUUUCAUGUCCAGCAAAAACAUUUUCCAACUAAAGGACUUUAAAAAUGUCAUAUGUACCUGAAUUAUUUCUAACACUGGUGUCCUAUUUCUAUUCAUGUGGCCGUCUCUUCUCUGGAGGCUUGAAUAAGUGUCAGACCUCUGCAAGGUUCUGCGUGAUUUUCAGAGAUGAAUUUGCUGAAGAAGGAGGUGUCGAGUAGUCGUGUUCUGUUGGUGUGACGUGUUCUGAUACACUGCAAUGAUUCACCUUAUCAAGCACAUUGAGGUUUAUUGUGAACACUCGUUCUAUUGAAAUCUGGACCCUAUGACUCCAUGUUUCAGGCGCUUACGGUGGUAAAUAAUUCACCACCUGUGCAGAGCUAUGAUCUGGGUUUGCUGCAGUUGGUCAUGUCUAGGUUCCGUAAAGUUCUGUGCCCAAAGAAUGAGGUCAGCUGACUACCUGAUUGACCAGGUUAUUCCAUUAAUGGAUUUUUUUCUUCCCUGAUGUUACAGGCAUAUUGCAAGAUGACAAAGCCAGGAUUCAUCGGGUUUAAAUUGUGAAUGAAAGGUUCAGAUAGAAAGAGACAUCAUUUUAACAGUCUGACACAAACAAUAUUGACAUUAAACAGAUCUUUUCUACUCAAAAUUAUUUGACUGUGACAACAACACUUGACCUCAGCAACACUUUUUGAACGUUAUCCGUUUACUUAAAUUCAUAUGAUUGUUUUAUGAAGUUAUUAAAUAAUCAAAUGAUUUCAUUAAUACUUAAGUAGAUUUCAGCUUUUGUUAAGGAAAGUGUGAUGAAAUGACUGCGAGAGGCAGGUUAUUGACUCAUUUGAGUUCUGUCAAUUAUUUUAUUAUAAACUUCCACUACAUUAACAUUUCAAAUCACAUGAAUUAACACUUCAUUUGUUUUUACUGUCUUGACACAUUCUGACUGUGUGAAAUCUGAAAAUAAUGUUAGAAAGACGACACUUGACACAUUUCAUUAUUAUAGACUUAUGUACUUUAUGUGAUGUGUGUGAUCUGUCGUGCUGUUCCAUAUGCAUUUAUUGGAAUGAUUUAAUUAUAUCUGUCAUGACUUUAUGUACGUAGCUUUUCUCAACGUGGUGUGUUGUUGUUAAAGUACUAAACUUACUAUUGAAAGCAA